GGGAAUGACUAGCGCGUCAGCAACGGUGCACGGCUCACUCUGAGCGGAUUUUCUCUUCUUGAGACAUCUUUGUUCAGAUAGACCCUUUUCCUCUCCCUUCCACGUAUUAAUAUUGUGAGCGGAUUCAUUUGAGUACGUUCUGUCUUUCAACUUUGCGGUUCAACCAAAGAAGUUCGUUGUCAAGAUGCCUCGUGCCUCGCGCGCUUCGUCUCUAGCCAAGAUGAAGUGGAAGAGGAUUCUUCCCAUGGCGACGACUCCGGCCAGAGGCUUCGAGCCUGUGCGUGGCACUGGAGCACGUCACCGUGUCAAGCCUUGGCCGGUCUGCGGCCCACACUGGUAAGUUCCCUCGAUUGGAUCUCCCUCCUGAG